rnacentral:rRNA from 1 species
GAUGAACGCUGGCAGAAUGCUUAACACAUGCAAGUCUUUGGCGAAGCUGUGCUUGCACAGCCUAGCCAGGGCGGACGGGUGAGUAACGCGUAAGGAACUUGCCCUGCAGUCAGGGAUAACAGACGGAAACGACUGAUACGACCAGGGAAAGUCAGGCGGACUCAUGUGCAGCCUGAUGAAAAGAGAUGCUGCAGGAGAGCCUGGCGUCCUAUUAGCUUGUUGGUGGGGUAACGGCCCACCAAGGCGAUGAUAGGUAGCCGGCCUGAGAGGGUGGGCGGCCACAAGGCGACGGAGAUACGGACAUUACUCCUGCGGGAAGCAGCAGUGGAGAAUAUUGGAUAAUGGGGGCAAUCAUGAACCAGCAAUUCUGUGGGGAUGAUGAAGGUUUGCGGAUAGUACAGUGCUUCCUGCAGCGAAGAAAAAAUGACGGUACUGGCUGAAGAAGCGACGGCUAACUACGUG